CUACGGGCCGCAGCAGUGGGGAAUAUUGGACAAUGGGGGAAACCCUGAUCCAGCAAUGCCGCGUGUGUGAAGAAGGCCUGCGGGUUGUAAAGCACUUUCGGUUGGGAGGACUGCUUCUAGCACUAAUAUUGUUGGAAGUUGACGUUACCUUCAGAAGAAGCACCGGCUAACUCCGUGCCAGCAGCCGCGGUAAUACGGAGGGUGCAAGCGUUAAUCGGAAUUACUGGGCGUAAAGCGCGCGUAGGCGGCUAGAUCAGUCGGGUGUGAAAGCCCCGGGCUUAACCUGGGAACUGCAUCCGCUACUGUCUAGCUUGAGUACAGGAGAGGAGAGUGGAAUUCCACAUGUAGCGGUGAAAUGCGUAGAUAUGUGGAGGAACACCAAUGGCGAAGGCAGCUCUCUGGCCUGAUACUGACGCUGAGGUGCGAAAGCGUGGGGGGCAAACAGGAUUAGAUACCCCAGUAGUC
rnacentral:rRNA from 1 species